rnacentral:lncRNA from 1 species
GGGAGAUGGAGGGAGAAGAUGGAGGGAGAACAGCCCUGUAUUCAGUCUCCACGAUUCCUCUUUGCUCCAGUUCUGGCCCGCCACCCUAAGGCUAGUCUCCUAGGCUUCCCAUACAGCAGGUACCCGGUGGCGAGAUGCGCGUCGCGUCGCGCGGGCUGUUCCACUCUUGUUUUCUCCAGCCCCCGCCCCCUGCACUUGCGCCCCGCCAGCGCCGCUCCGCCAGCCGCUCGGCGCACCUAGCCCUAAAGACUGUGGGUGUUUGGAUUCACUGAGAAGGACGUCAGAUGUGGAGCCAUCAUGGAAAUUGCAUGGAAGCUUCUCAGAGACCCAAACUGGAACCAACCCAGUGACUCAGCAACUCCACUAGUUGGAAAUGAAGUCGGCGAGCUUAAAGGAUAUAUGUCCUGACAGGACAUCCCAGCAAAGAUAUGGAAGCAAAGAUACACAGUAAAGAUAUGAAAGUAACUGGAUGUCCAUAAAUGAAACAGAUGGAAAAAAAUUGGUGUGUACUCACCAUGAGAUAUUACUCAGCCAUGAAAAGGGAGAAAAGUCCCAACAUUUCCAAGAACAUAGAAAAGCCUAGAAGGCACAAUGUGACUGGAAGGACAGACACAGAAGGACAAGGUGAUCUCAUUUAGAUGUGCUGGUUUAAACAAGAAUGUCACCCAGAGGUUCUGGCAUAUGAAUAUUUGGUCCCCAGUUGGUGGCACUGUUUGGGGGAAGUUUCAGAGGUGUGGCCUCUUUGGAGGAAGUGUGUCAUUGGAAGAAGGCUUUGAGAAGAACUACAAGACUGGAACAAUUUCUAACUAGCUCUCUCUCUCCUUCCUGCUUGAGGAGAUGUAAGAUUUCAGCUAUUCCUGCUGCUGUGACUGUUGUCUGCUGCCACAAUUCCCUGCCAUGAUGGGAACCAUAGUCCAAAU